rnacentral:misc_RNA from 1 species
AAGGAGUCGACUUCGUAUGCGAGUGUUCGGGUGUAAAACCCCUACGCGUAAUUAAAGUGAACGUAGGUGAGAGCUUCGGCGCAUCACCGACCGAUCCUGAUGUUCUCUGAUGGAUUUGAGUAAGAGCAUACGGGGUCGGACCCGAAAGAAGGUGAACUAUGCCUGUAUAGGGUGAAGCCAGAGGAAACUCUGGUGGAGGCUCGCAGCGGUUCUGACGUGCAAAUCGAUCGUCAAAUAUGGGCAUAGGGGCGAAAGACUAAUCGAACCUUCUAGUAGCUGGUUUCCGC